GAUGAGAGAAAAAACAAUGAAAUUUAAUUGAAAAUGAGGAUUUUAUAAAGAAGAGAUUAUGCUUGUUAGUUAAAGUCGAGGAGAAAACUUUUCUCUCUAGAGAAAACCCUAGAGGACGCCGCCUUCCCGUUUUGUGCCUGUCCGGCUCCGCCUCGCCGCCGGCGAUGGCCUCUGGCCUAGCCGGCGCCCAUUGGGUGAGCCCAGACGGGUGAUUGGUGUGAGUGCAGUAUCUCAAUCCCGAAGGUUUGGAUCGGAGGGGGGUCUGUGUUGUCUUGGAUCCAACAGAAAGGCUGGGUCAAGGAGGUGGGGUAUGAUCGGAGGAGGCACUGGUUUCUGGAUCAGAACGCAGUCUGUUAGAUUGGCUUGCCGGAGUCGAUGGCCGGAUGGUGCAAAUCGCAGGCGGGUUGGGUCUGAUAGCAAGCGAAGAUGACGGAUCCGAAUCCAAUUGCAUGAGUUCUUUGUUUCGAUUGGAGUUGGGUGGCUUGCGGUUUCUCAACGUUGGGUUGACAACGAUGGUGGCGCAAGGGGGCUCGACUCUGGUCGGAAGGCGGCGACGGUGGUGGGUAGACACAUCAUCUUCUUUGGGCUGGGCAGACUGCAUGCCUUGAGGGCUUGGACCUUUGGGCUUGGAUAUUGCAUUUGGGCCUGAUAUGGGCUGGUGAUGGGGGUUGGACCCACUUUUUGGGUCUGGCCCUGUUUGUUGUUUUAUUUACUGUUUUUACUGUUAUAGGUUAUUUUGUUUUUUGCAUUUUGCAUGCAAUAAAUUCCUGCAGGCACUUUAUAGGACUAGAUGGGCUUCGUGCCGGUAUUUGCACUUUAUGUGCGUUGUCUACUCUAGGUGUGCGACGAGUUCCUUAAUUGCUUCGUCAAAUAGUCGUUGCCACCUAACGGUAAGAUGAAACUAAGUGUCGUCGAAUCUAUUUUCCAGCGGCAACAUAGUUUGAAAGCUAAAUUAUUAGACAUUACGAUGUGUAAACGUGUUACAUAUUUACUGUUCUUUCUAGUGUGUCACUGCUAUGUGAAAGCAAAUAGAAUCGUCAUUAGAGUUGUACUCUUUGCUAGUUGGUGCUUUGUUGAGUAGUACAUAUUUUUAGAUAUUUCUGAUAUUAUUUCAGGUCUUUGUAAUUAGAUAUUUCUGAUAUUAUUUCAGGUCUUUGUAAUCAGGGGUUUAAGCUUGAUGUCCUCCCUUGUAUUCGAUAAUUUCAUUAAUCAAGGCUGGAGAAUAGCCGCAAAAGCCUUUUUUAACAAAAAAAAAAAAAAAAAAAAAUUAAUGCCGCUAUACCAAAUAGUACUGAAUUCUCUGUAAGUGUGUUUAGAUGAGAGAAAAAAAUGAUGAAAUUUAAUUAAAAAUGAGGAUUUCAUAAUUUAGAAAGACGAAUUCUCUCGUUUGAGAUUAGCAAAUAAGAAAUCGAUUUGCUUUACCAUUCUAAGAAUGUCAUCAAGUCUUUUAACUUCUCACUAAACAAACACAUAACACCGGCUGAUCUUCAAAUGAUCGUCAAAGUCGACCUAAAAAUAGAAGAGAUCCAUAAGUUAGAACCAAGUGACCCUGAUUAUACAAUUCUCUUCUAUUCGCUUAUGAUUUCCCAAAUCCAUGAACUUGACUUUGCCAAAACAAGUAGGGAACAUAACCAUUAAAGAAACUCAAUAUCGGUAUGCGAAAUACUUCAG
rnacentral:lncRNA from 1 species